rnacentral:ribozyme from 13 species
AAGAAAUAAAAAAUCGAAAGGAGGCAGAAAAGAAAGAGACCAAAGUUGAAAGAUAUUUGUUUCUCAACUUCCAAACAAGAGAUCUUCUUUCUUUUUCUUCUCUCAGCUUCU